rnacentral:tRNA from 1 species
GGGAGCAUAGCUCAGUUGGUUCAGAGCAUCUGCUUUACACGCAGAGGGUCAUAGGUUCGAGUCCUAUUGUUCCCA